rnacentral:rRNA from 1 species
AGUGAACGCUGGCGGUAGGCCUAACACAUGCAAGUCGAACGGCAGCACAGUAAGAGCUUGCUCUUACGGGUGGCGAGUGGCGGACGGGUGAGGAAUACAUCGGAAUCUACUUUUUCGUGGGGGAUAACGUAGGGAAACUUACGCUAAUACCGCAUACGACCUACGGGUGAAAGCAGGGGAUCUUCGGACCUUGCGCGAUUGAAUGAGCCGAUGUCGGAUUAGCUAGUUGGCGGGGUAAAGGCCCACCAAGGCGACGAUCCGUAGCUGGUCUGAGAGGAUGAUCAGCCACACUGGAACUGAGACACGGUCCAGACUCCUACGGGAGGCAGCAGUGGGGAAUAUUGGACGAUGGGCGCAAGCCUGAUCCAGCCAUACCGCGUGGGUGAAGGAGGCCUUCGGGUUGUAAAGCCCUUUUGUUGGGAAAGAAAAGCAGCAGGUUAAUACCCCGCUGUUCUGACGGUACCCAAAGAAUAAGCACCGGCUAACUUCGUG